CCUACGGGUGGCAGCAGUGGGGAAUAUUGGACAAUGGGCGAAAGCCUGAUCCAGCCAUGCCGCGUGUGUGAAGAAGGCCUUCGGGUUGUAAAGCACUUUCAGUGGGGAAGAAAGCCUUGGGGCUAAUACCCUCGAGGAAGGACAUCACCCACAGAAGAAGCACCGGCUAACUCCGUGCCAGCAGCCGCGGUAAUACGGAGGGUGCGAGCGUUAAUCGGAAUUACUGGGCGUAAAGCGCACGUAGGCGGUCUGAUAAGCCGGUUGUGAAAGCCCCGGGCUCAACCUGGGAACGGCAUCCGGAACUGUCAGGCUAGAGUGCAGGAGAGGAAGGUAGAAUUCCCGGUGUAGCGGUGAAAUGCGUAGAGAUCGGGAGGAAUACCAGUGGCGAAGGCGGCCUUCUGGACUGACACUGACGCUGAGGUGCGAAAGCGUGGGUAGCAAACAGGAUUAGAUACCCGUGUAGUC
rnacentral:rRNA from 1 species